rnacentral:lncRNA from 1 species
UUUCCAUCUCCCCAUGGAACAGUCCCAUGAGCUGUGAGCUCAGUGGGUUUUACACUGACCCCUUUGAGAGCUGACAGCAGAGUGUCAGUGCGUGGAAAUGAUGCUUAUGAUGUUGAAAUCUAUCACAAUCUGUGUUUUGAAGGUGUGACAUGGGUGUUGGCCAUAACUCCAGACCAAUAUUGCCAAUUUCAGCCUUUGGUAACAGAUCUGGAUGAUGCUCGAGGCUCCUGCAAUGUGUUUUAUCCUGCUCCAAAAAUUCCAACCCAGGAUGCCAUUUGCAUGGCUGAUCCCAGUGCUCAGCCUAGGGAAGGCAGAUUUAUGCCCCACGCUCUCCAUCUCUUCCUUUUCCUGCACCUGCAGGGAUGUGAUCCCAUUUUUCCCUGAGAAAAUUCCUCUUUCAGGAGCUCCACCUCCCACCAGGAGCUUCAUGCUCCUAGAUAAAUGUGUUGCAGACCCACAGUCUCUUUUAUUUUCCUAAACGACACAAUUGCAGCCCUUUGGACGCCUCCUCAAGCUGGUGAAAUUCCUCAUUUUCUGUUCUUUUUGUCAGUUUUAAAAAAAGAGCUGGAGAACCUCAUGCAGAGCAGGAGGCUCCUCAAACCCAGAGCAAGCAAGGCAACAGCCCAGGAGUCCCAGUUCUGCAAGGAGCUGAAGGAUUUAAUUCAGAAAUAUGAAGGGGAUCUCUCCCAGCUGUCAAAAAGAUGUGAGGAAAUGAAGAAGCUUUAUAGCAAUGUACUGGUGAGGUUUGGGGAGCCGGCAGAGCUGGACUCCCAGGAGCUCUUUGGGUGGAUCUCCUCCUUCAUCUGUGACUUCAGGAAGGCGUGUGCUGAGCUCACACCCUGAGGACACACAUCUCAUGGGGAAGGAGGAGCCCAGGAAUCAAUUUUUAAUUGUUUCAUUCUUUUUUUUAUCAUUUUCUGAUAAGCAGCACCUUGCCAAGCUCACCUGUGCAGCACAACACCUUGAUUUUGAGAGACAUUCAAUUCCAAAUAUGCAAUUUUUAUGUGGUAUUUGACCUGUAAUAUCCCAGAUCACUGAUGAGCCUCUCAGUUUUGUGCUUUUGUAACUUGAGAUUCCCAUGUAUUGAAAAAACCCCACUUCUGACCUUUUAUAAUUUCUCUUUUCAGUCUUUUCCUUUGAAUACCCCCAUUUUCUGACCCAGUUUUAAUUGUUAUCUUCAUUAUUCUGUAUGGUGAUCUAAUUUCUAAAUUUCUAAUUUCUAAAUAAUACUUCACAAAUUUUUAUAACAAAACGGGAAGCUGUUACCCACAGAGGAGAAUAUUUAAACAAAGUCUUGUUUAUUUUGCUAUUAAAACAUUGCAAAUUUACUAUGUAAUGAAGUAUCUGGCUGAGUGUUUUAUUUUGCCUUGUCCUCACUAAGCAGGACAAAAAAAUAGCACUUUAUUUUUUUUUUUUUUAUCAAAUGUCAUGUGUUUGCCACAAAUGCUACAGAAAUUAAUCAAUAUAUAUAAGAUUUGCAUUGGUAGGAAGGGAAAAAUGUCAGAGCAGCAAAAUAAAAAACUGUCGUGAAG